UGGGGCCACCCCCUGCAGUCCCCCGAUAUGGGCACCCGUGACUUGCCUCUUGGCCUGGCCGACGCCUCCCUGAUAGUCAAGGAACAGUCUAUGCCUCUGCUCCAUGAAGCCUUUCCCAGCCACCAGAAAAGAAUCUCCAAGCAAAAUCAAAACCAAUCCCGUCGAAACUCCUAGGGUUACUUUGUUAAUCACACUAGAUGUUCCUGCUUUGUGACCUUGGAGGAAAGAGAAAGAGGUUCUUUCCCAGGGAGGCUGUCCCUGCUUGGGAAAAGCUGUGAGUGACAAAGACCAUGUGGCAACAUGACAAAUGGUCAUAAAUCAAAAUGCUAAGGAGAAGAAGGCAGAAUAGAGCGCCGAAGCAAUGAGGGUAUCCCGGGAAUAUGGAAAAAUAGAAAGCUUUUGCCUUCCGGCGGCGGGGGGGGGAGGAGGGAGUAGCGCUGUCUUAUUACAUAAAAAGCCUUCGCCACCUUUGCAAAAGCAUUUGUAACAAAUAUGUUCGUACAAAAAUAAUCUGGUGGUUAUCGCACGAUACAAUUUUCAGGGCUCGGUUUCUUUUCAGAAUGAG